GUGAAUCAUCGAAUUUUUGAACGCAAAUUGCACCCUCUGGCAUUCCGGUGAGUAUUCCUGUUUGAGGCUCAGAUUAAAUAAAAAUCGUUGUGGUUGCUGCCUUUCGUUGUGACGCACCGGAGUUGUGUUGUCUUUUCUUCGUUUAAGUGACUUAAAAUUUUGCAUGAUUUUUUUCGAACGUAUUUAAAUGAUUUUACGUACGUUUGCGAUAUCGAAUAUUUGGUGUGGUCAUCCUCAUGAUUCGCGCUUAUAA
rnacentral:misc_RNA from 1 species